UGGAAAACAAUGAAUCAUUUUUUAAUGAACAAGCAUAAAUUCCUCUCUUAAAAACAUACAAAAUACGGGAAGUCAUAAAAUGUGUCAAAAGCCUGUUACUUAAUUUUUUUUGGCAUGGUGCUUGUUUGCUUUUAGUUCCUCGUUGACUUUUUCGAGAACAUAGGCCAGUGGGCAUAAAGGCCGGUGCUGUUUUCAUGGCUCUAUUUGUUGACAGAAGGUUGCAUGUGUUGCUUCUGUGCAUCUACAGAUCAUUUUGGGAAAGCACUAAGCCCCGGCCUCACCAGAGGUUCACAGGAGGUUUAGGACAUUGCGUACACUUUGUUACUUUACUUGGCUCAAGGUGUGUGGUUGAGAUUCUGGUUGGCUUGCAAUUAAUUACAGGAACAUGGAGUGGCUACUGUUUAUCUGAGCCUUCCAUUUUCCUUGCCCUCUCCCCCUCCCUUCUCUUUACCUGCUCAAGGGCACUGCCGAUUACUUCCAGCCCUUACUAUUGAUGUUUCAUAUUCUUUAAGGCAAAAUUUUAGAAAUGCAUCUUCUCGUCGUUCAUAUGUCCUGAUAAUUCUGUGUAGCUCUGUUGGUAAGCCCGCCUCUCUCUGAUCCUUUCUCUCACUCUCUCCCUCAGCAUCUCCUGUUCUUUACUAUUGCCAAGUGACUGACUUUGGGUGGCAAGUGCCUAUUCUCAGAAUAAUUUUAAAAAUUUUUUUAUUUUAAAGGAAACCAUAUAAGUAAACACUUUAUACAUGGAGAGGGAGGCAAAAGAUACAGUAAAACGAAUGCCUCAAAGUGAAUAUUGAUUAUAAGACCAGAGUGAUGAGAUAUAAGUUGCCUCACUCACCCUCCUGUAAGACAAGCCCAUUGUUACAAAUCUACAAUGGUGGUGCUUCUAAUAUAUUAUUCUUUCUCCUUCUGCUACAAAAAAAAUAUCAAAUAUAACACUUUCAAGAUCAACCAGCACUUUAUAAAAUGAUGCUAAAUUAAAUAGAGAAGCAAGAACGAUAAUUCAGAUCUCGGGUUUUCAAACUGAAGAACAUUCCGAAUUUUAACUUUUGGUAAAAUCUAUUUAACAUUUAGGGAAGCAAUCCUGUGGUAAGUGUCUGCGAUUCCUUUAGUGCUCUCUCUGCCUACAACAGCAUUUAAAUUAUACACAAGAAUUAAAGUAUGAUUUUUUUUCAUUCUCUAUACAAAUCAAAGAAAGCUAACUUAAAGUAAAAAUGAGUUAUUUGAGUAAAAAUAAUUUUUAAAUGUCAAUGUUAAUUUUGAGAGUCCAAUAAAAUCAAACUUUUUUUCUGUAAGUUUGUUAAAAUUCAUUCAUUCUGAAAGAUAUUUAGGAACGUAGAUUAGGCACCAUCAAAGUGUUUAUACCCUUUCUCAUUAAUCCACGUAGCCUAAAACAACAUUCUAAAUGUUGAAAAAUUGUCUAAAGUUAUUACUAGCAGUGUUACUUAAAACAGGAAAGUAUUAGAAACAACCUAAAUAUCCAAUUUAUUAGCUAGGUAAUUGGUAACCAGUAGGUAAAACCGUUUGAUCAGUCUUUGGAAUCUGUGGAAUAGGAUGCAACCAUUCAAAUAACGAUCAUAAUGAUUAUGUAAACAUCAUAUGCUUAUAAAAUAAUAAAAAAUUCAUAUUUGAGUAUACAAUAAAAUGAAAUACUUAUGAUUUAUAUUAUAAGACAGAUAUAGCAUAAAGAUGAAGAAAACAUAAAAUUCAAAUGUAUUGUGGUGGUGGAGUAGUUUUAAAAAUUGCCUCUGUUUUUUUUUCAAAAUUUUUUAUUAAUCUCCGUGUGUUAAUUGUAUAAUGAGGGAAAAAUUCUCCAAGCUUUCCUAGUAGGUUUUGCUGCUCCAAGACCUGUCACUUUCUUUUUCUUCCCCUCUUCUCCCUUCCCUUCCUCUUUUCUUUUUUCUUUUUCUUUUUUAAGCAUAUACUUUACUUCCAGUAGAACUACGUUUUCAGAAACUAGCGUUGUUUCUGGUAUAAAUUUUAAUCAAUGAUAUCACCUCAAUCCUCAAUAGUUCUCAGUAAGAGAAAUACGGCACGUUUAUUUGACAUUUAAAUAUAACGCCAUCACCUUUCCAUUCAUUGUGAACCUGUACCAUUAAAAAUUUGAAGACAUUAUGGCUUUUAGGGUUAGUGACUGAGAUUGGGGGUGCAGGGUCAGUCUGGAUUGCUAAGGGAAGCCCUUGCUUUCUCUGGCUGUGUGUACAAUGUGGUGGGAUGAAGAACAGAGAUUUAGAGAGCUGGCUGUAGAGAUGUGAAUUCUCUUUGACUCUGGCAAGGCUAUUGGGACUCCCUUAUGUAUUUUGUAAGAAUUUUGGAAGAAGAAUGGUUCCUCGGCUCUUCUGGGGCCUUACCUUGAGACUUGGCAGCCCUCUGGCUGUCACACAGCUGGGUAGGGAGCUGAGCCAGCUUCAGCUGAACAGGAACUAGGAGCUCACAUCAGAUGUGGGCAGGCAUGAGCCCAAGUCCUGGGGAAGGGAUAGGGAGAUAGAUGUGAGGUUGGUGGAAGGUGGGCAUAUUGGAGAGGGUGGGAUGCUAGGAGGGUAUAGAGCAGAGCUGAGAACAAAGGCAAGGCCAGGCUAGAACCAAGAUCCAGGGAUAGAGCUGGCUCAGAGAAAGCGUCUGUGCUCAUGGGACUGAAGAUUGGACACAGACUUGAGCAUAAAGCCUCAUUAAAGAAAACAAAGGCAAGAAACAGGAGCCAGGGGUUGAAGAUGGGCUGAAGUUAAUCGGAAAUCUGGUUUCGUAAACAGGAACAAGGGAAGCGCAGUGCCCAGGAAUUCUGGGGGAUGCUCUUUUCAGCUGUAGCCACCUGUUAUUAUUGCUUACAUUCUCCAGGUACAGAGGAAGCCAUGUCCAGAGUGCCCUAAAGAAAUUCAGUAGCUUCUGUCGUAAUGCCAGAUGGAUUCCUGGAUAAACAUCCUUGUGAAGACGGCACUACUGCUCCAGUAUCUGCUGCCUGGACCAGCGAGUCUCCUGACUGCCGUGAGGCCCUUCUCCCAGGAACUCUGGCUUAUUGAGAUCACAAGUUCUCUGGUGUAGCUGCCCAGAUAACUGCUUGUGACUAGAUUUAACACAGACUACGACGUGCCAUGUCUCAUGGAAAGUUUUCAAGACUUCUGCCCCUCUGUGGAUCUCCCUAAUACUGGGCUGACUUGUCAGUGAGGGAACAAUAAGGGCUCUAACAAUGCGGGAAGCCAAACAGCGGUGUUUCCUCAGCAGCCCAUGGCAUUGGUUUUAGCCAGCUUCUACUGCAGCUGUUUUAUCAGCAAGAUGUUUAUGAUCUGACCCUCAUCUCGUCCUGUGACUUGGAAUGCCUAACCAUCCGGAAAUGCUGCUGCCCGGUAAGUCUCAGCCUGAUUUUACCCAGCUCCUAUUCAAGAUGGAGUUGCUCUGGUUCAAAUGCCUCUGACAUUUCCAUAUAGAUUUGUUUUGAAUCCUGGCUCCAUGAUCUGCUAGCUGAGUGACAGUUUGCCGAUGACAUUACCCCAUUGUACCUCAGUUUCCUUAUCUGAAAAAUAGGAAUAACAGUGCUGGUCUCUUAAAAUUAAGAUUAUUUGAGGAAUACAUAAAGUAACACUUGAAAAAUGCUUGGGACACAAUAGUAACAUAAUAAAUGGUAUUAUCAUUUUGAUGGGGUUGGUUGCCCAAUAAGAAGGAAUGUGGGAACACUCACAGAAUAACUGCUUUUGAAAAGUGUGGUUCUGGUGUUGGAGAUAUCAGAUCAGCUUGAAUCAGAUCUUUUCCUGGGGAGAAUAUUUGGCUCUUUUCAGAAAUAUGAAUGUAUAGUAACAGGCAUGCCUAUUUAUGCAGCAAUAUAAAAAUGCUUAUGGUAACAAAUGCUUAAACAAAAGAAUACGUGACUGAACAUGAAAGAUCAAAUACUUGUGAUCCACGCUACAGGAAAAUAUGGCAUAAAGGUGAAGAAAGCACAUGAAAUAAAGAUGAAUUAUGCAGCAGAAUAAUAUUUUAUUUGGCCAGACAAUGACAGCCCCUCUAUGCUGCUGGCAUAUGAGGUUGCCGGUUGGUGCAUGUAGGGUGGGGACAGUGAAAGCGUAUUUCCACAAGGUGCUAAGAAACUUAUGGGAGUAAAAGUGAUUGAGACCCUAAUUUCUUCUCUUUUGAGGUUUAAUGUUGUUAGAACAUCUCUGAUGGACUGAGGCAGUCCUCGCUGAAGUCAUUGGUCAGGAGAAGAGACCAGAUCUCUCCCAUCCAGGAAGAAACUCACUGUGGGAAAUGAGAAAACUAGGCUGUGCCACAUAUCACAAACAACGGCCUUUGUGGUUACAGCAGAAGUCUGGAUCAGGGUUGCUCACCUCACCCUCUCUAAAACUCUAGAGAGUAGGACCUAGUAUUGUCCUCAUUUUUCCAGCUACAAAACUGAGGUUUAGAGGGGUUAAGAAACUUACCCAAAGUAAGGGCUAGGGGCAGCUGAGAGCUAGAACUCCAGCCCUAUCUGUCUCCAGAAUUCUUGUAUCUCACUUCCAUACGACACACGCUGGCUGAGAUCUUUCUCAGGCCUGUCCUCAACAUUCAGUUGACAAAAGAAAGAGAUGCGAAUUCGGGCUAAGGAUUAGGAUACACACUUCAGUGGGAAAGGGACUGGCAAUUAGAAGAAGAGAAAUUCAAGAGCUUGGGGUUUUUCAGCCUCCUCCAGGAGGGUGAUGGUUGUGUGAUGUAAUCUGCAUUCUUGCCUGACUUCUGGAAAUACAAACAAGCAUUUUCAAGAUGAUUGCCUAAGAUUUAAAAUCAUUCUGUGGCCAUACUUUUUUGUUGUUGUUCAAUGCAAACUUGAUCUUUCCGGGCCUUAAUAAUCUCCUCCGUAAAAUAAGAGGGUUGUGCUAAGUCAUUGUUAGAAUUCUUUUCAUGCUCUAAGGCUUGCGCGUUCAGGAAUGUAUAAGCUUUUUCUGGUAUUUGACCUUUGGCCAUAGCUUCUUUAGUACUAGGAUCAAAACGAAUCUCCCCAACUUAAAUUUUGUGCGACAGGUAAGGAAGCCAGGACAAAGGACUUAAUGAAGGUUCUGAGGCAGGGAGGAUAGCAGCAAAAGGUUUUACAGCUAUGUAUGAAAUGGAGCUGAAAGGGAAGAACUCAGGAUCUCAGAAUCCACUGAGUGUAGCCAAAAAGACUGAAGCUCAGAAACAACUUUCAGAGCGAUUACGUGGAGAAAUAAGUAAGAUCUGGUUGUGCCCUUCACGUAAACAGGCUGGAAUUAGAUUGGUUGGUGUGAGUUAGUGGGAAGGAUUAGCCAUCACAGAGGGACAUUUAAUGGGAUGGCUGUCUGGUUCUCCCAUCUCGCUGUCCCGGCCCACCCUUGGGAACGGGUGUAGCUGCCGUCACCAUCCAAUAACUCUUCUUCCAAUACUUCCAACUAUGCAGAGCUUUCUUGGUCUUAGUUUGGUUGAACCAAAGAACUGUUGCCAAUUAAAUGAGAAAAAAGUUUAAAAAAA